rnacentral:rRNA from 1 species
UAGGGAAUCUUCGGCAAUGGACGAAAGUCUGACCGAGCAACGCCGCGUGAGUGAAGAAGGUUUUCGGAUCGUAAAACUCUGUUGUUAGAGAAGAACAAGGACGUUAGUAACUGAACGUCCCCUGACGGUAUCUAACCAGAAAGCCACGGCUAACUACGUGCCAGCAGCCGCGGUAAUACGUAGGUGGCAAGCGUUGUCCGGAUUUAUUGGGCGUAAAGCGAGCGCAGGCGGUUUCUUAAGUCUGAUGUGAAAGCCCCCGGCUCAACCGGGGAGGGUCAUUGGAAACUAGGAGACUUGAGUGCAGAAGAGGAGGGUGGAAUUCCAUGUGUAGCGGUGAAAUGCGUAGGUAUAUGGAGGAACACCGGUGGCGAAGGCGGCUCUCUGGUCUGUAACUGACGCUGAGGCUCGAAAGCGUGGGGAGCAAUCAGG